rnacentral:rRNA from 1 species
UACAGGGGGGGCAAGCGUUGUUCGGAAUUACUGGGCGUAAAGGCUCGUAGGCGGCCAACUAAGUCCGACGUGAAAUCCCAAAGCUUAACUUUGGAACUGCGUCGGAUACUGGAUGGCUUGAAUUCGGGAGAGGGAUGCAGAAUUCCAGGUGUAGCGGUGAAAUGCGUAGAUAUCUGGAGGAAUACCGGUGGCGAAGGCGGCAUCCUGGACCGACAUUGACGCUGAGGAGCGAAAGCUAGGGGAGCAAACGGG